GCCCGGAUGGCGAAACUGGUAGACGCAUCGGACUUAAAAUCCGCCGGAGGCAACUCCAUGCCGGUUCGAUUCCGGCUCCGGGCACCA
rnacentral:tRNA from 3 species